GAGGAAAUAAAAGGCAUCCAAAUUGGAAAGAAAAGUGAAACUGUCAUUAUGUGCAGAAUCACAGAAGGACCGCCUGAGUAGCCAUAGCAAUCUUGAGAAAGAAGAACAAGGUUGGAGGUAUCACACUACCUGAUAUCAAAUGUACUACAAGCCUAUAGUAAUCCAAGCAACAUGGCUCUGGCUUAAACACAGACAAAUCAGUGGAACAGAAGAGAAGGCCCAGAAAUAAACCCACAAGUAUAGGGUCAAUUAAUGACAAAGGAGAGCCCUGGAUGACAGAUACAUCAUUGUCAUGAAGUCUAGUCUCAGG